GACUUUGUAGUGAAAUUCAUGGUGGGUUGCAAGUCCAUCGAUGUGUACUGACUGUACGCCGAAGUCU
rnacentral:tRNA from 2 species